UAUCCAUGUCCAGGUUGAAGAUGCGGUAAAACGCAUUGGAGGACCGAACUCGUGUAUGUUGAAAAAUGCUGAGAUGAGAUGUGGAUAGCGGUGAAAUUCCAAACGAACUUGGAGAUAGCUGGUUCUCUCCGAAAUAGCUUUAGGGUUAGCCUCGAGGUUUAGGAUCGUGGAGGUAGAGCACUGUUUGGACUAGGGGCCCGUCUUGGGUUACUGAAUUCAGAUAAACUCCGAAUACCAUUGAUCUUUACUCGAAAAGGAUGUGGAAACGCAUAGACAACUAGGAUGUUGGCUUAGAAGCAGCCAUUCAUUCAAAGAGUGCGUAAUAGCUCACUAGUCGAGUGAUUCUGCGCCGAAAAUGUACCGGGGCUAAGCAUGAUACCGAAACUGUGGAUGUGUCGUAAGACACGUGGUAGGAGAGCGUUGUAAUUGCAUUGAAGCCAUACCGUGAGGAGUGGUGGAGUGAUUAGAAGUGAGAAUGCCGGUAUGAGUAACGAAAGACCAGUGAGAAUCUGGUCGGCCGUAAGACUAAGGUUUCCUGGGGAAGGCUCGUCCUCCC
rnacentral:rRNA from 1 species